rnacentral:lncRNA from 1 species
GUUCAACUUUUGUGGUUUUUCAAAUGGUAGAGUAGAUUUGGUGUAUUUGUGAUGUGGCUUAGCUCAUGUAAAACCGAAUGGUAAUGGUAAUGGUAAUGGUAAUAAAUGGUAGGACACUAACUAUAUAAAAAGUAAGUUCUAUAUUUGGUGCACAAUUUAUUGUGUACAUAGUAUUUUCCUCAACUUUUACUAUGAUAAUUUUGGUGUAAAGAUUUUUAAGCUUUAUUUAAUCUUUACCAACUCUCUUUAUUUAAUCUUUACCAACUCUCUCUUAUAAGCUGGUAUUAGAAAUGGAGUGAAAUGAAUGGAGGACUGAAUGGGGAUAAUAAUACAAAUUUAAUAAUAAAAAGAAAAUUGUAAAAAUGGCGUCAUUCAGUGCUUCAUCAUGUUGUUGAACUCGUCAAAGUUGAGGAUGCCAUCUCCAUUAAGAUCAAACUUUCGAAUCAUGGCCUCACAGUUGCUGAUUGAGGGUGACUCGCCGAGUCGACUCAACGUUCUCUUCAAACUCUUAGGGGUGAUGCAUCCCUUCCCCUCCUCCGCGUACAUUCCAAACGCCUCCCUCAGCUCCUCUUUCCUCUCCUCCUCUGAUAAUCCACUCCCUUUUAUGAGCUUAUUGAAGUCCUUUAAAUCCAGCAGCCCAUCUUCAUCGGAAUCCGACGACUGCACCGCCAUCUCCGCCUCCUCUCGUGACAGCUCUCCAACGCCAGCUGUCCUCAUACAAUUCUGUAGCUCAGCCGCCGAUAUCUUACCGUCACCAUUCUCGUCGAAGUAAUUAAACACUCGCUCCAUAACCUUAUCAUCGCCGGAAGCGACCGUAUCAAGUUCACCCGAACCAGGAUUUGAAAAUCUUUCCGGCGACUGUCUGGGGGAUAACUUUCGAAAUAAUCUUUGAAAGGCAGAGUUGGGAGAUGAAUUAGGCUUUUUUAUACCCUUGUUUUUUGAAGUGGAAGAAACUAUUUCCUGACCAGGUUUCAUUGCAGGGAAUGAAAAUAAUAAGUAAGUACUACUACUAUAAGAGAGAAGAAUUAUACUAGUUGGUAAAGACUUGAAACUGAGAAUUUAUGUAUUUGAGGAGAUAAAAAUAUAUAUGAAUUGUGAAUGAGAGGAUUGGGACUUGGGACUAUUUAUACGUUUGUCUGUCUCUGAGGGAGUUGUUUUUGGGAAUGCGGGCGGCGGGGCGGUGUAAACCGCGGGCGGGAAACUUCGUGCAGAGAGGCCAAGAUAACCAUGAAAUGAUGAAAAGGGCGGCCCGACCUUUUUGGUUUGUAUUCGGAAUGAUUUGUCACUCUGUUGAAAGUGUGGUAGCUGUUUGGCAGACGUGGGUUCCAUAUCAUAUAUUAUGUGUUACAUUUGUUUGGAAGGAAUCUGACUGCAAUUUUUAGGAACGUUGAAAUAAAAUUUAAAUAUUAUUUAUUUAUAUUUUUAUAAAUAUAAUAAAAAUUUAAAUACACUUAAAAUUUUAUAUCCGGUUAGAGUUCUUAAUUUUUAGGAGGAUGGUAUAUAAUGAGAUUUAAUGACUCAGAAAGUUAUUCAACUUUAUAUUAUUUUUUAAUUUUAAUUUAACUUGUAGAUUUUUUAUUUAUUUUUAUAAAAAAAACCUUUUAAUUUUAAUAAUUAGACAAAAAAUAACCAAUUCAAUGUUCAUUACCACCAAUUCAAUUGCUUGACGGACAUGGAUAAGUUAUUCACAGAAGAACCAAAAAGGCUAGGAUAGAAUUUAAUAUGUUAAUUGAGCCUGUAGCCCAGCAUUGACCUGAGAUUGAAAAUCAAAUCAUACAUAUUAAUAAACAAGGUGAACCCAAAUUUGGGUUUAUGUUCCAUCACAAUCCAGUCUAUUCGAAGAAUCCGAGUAGUCGACGGAUGCCUGGAUCUUGGUUCGGCGUGCUGGACUUCGAGCAUCUCGUCUUAGAGCAGUGGGGGAAAGUAGGAUUGAGAGGAAGUGACUGAUAGCGGUGGUUUGUGAGGGAAGGAGAGGAGGAGAGAGAGAAAUAUUUGGAUGAGUUUACAGAAGGAGAGCAUUGUCAUGGUAUUUGGUGUGACAGAAUUCAGAAAGUUUGUACUAUGUGGUGGUGGUUUGGAAAGGAGGGAGAGUAAUGGAGAAAGUAGGAAACUCUGAGCUCUCUUGCCGUUUCGGUCUUUGCCGGAAAUCUCCGAGCUCUCCUGGCAGAGCUUCUCGCCGUUCCGGUUCUGAAGGAGAGGAUUGCAUUUUGUUUUUAUUUUAUUAUUAUAUAUUUUUGUUUGUCAUGUAUUUUAUAUUUUUAUUAAAUUUUAUGUUAAUAUUUUGAAUAACUUAAAAUUUCUUUUUUAUUGAUUAAAUAUGAUAUACGUUAGGAUAAGAAUAAAAGUUUUUUUUUUCCACCCUACUUGCCAUGUCAUAUGUCACAUAUUACUCAUUGUACCUCAUGUGUGAUGUCACAUCAAUUUUAGUAUUUUUUGCUUAGUUAUUAAAGUUGAAAGGUAAAAAAUUUAUCAGAUCUAAUUAAAGGAAAUAAUAUUGUUUUUUAAGUAAAAAUGAAAAAAAAAUUACCAACUUAAAGGGACACUCAUUGAAAUAAUUUAUUGAUCAAUAUGUUAAAGUGGAGUAUGACACAUCAACGGUUUAUAAAAUAAUUUAUGUCCGUAACAUUACUCUUAUUAUUUAAAUAAUGCUAGAGACACAAACUAUUUUAUAAAUAUUUUACAAACUGCUAAUGUGAAAUACCCCACUUCAAUUUUUUAUGUGGGCCCAAAAUCUAAUAAUUUAUUGAUCAAGUUGAAGUGAAGUAUGACACAUUAACAAUUUAUAAAAUAUUUAUAGAAUAGUUUAUGUCUAUAAUAUUAUUUUUGUUAUUUAUGUACCAUAUUUUUAUUUUCUUAAUUUAAUCAACUGACCCGUUUGAAACUAUAAUGUUCUGAUGGGGCAGCCCCCCCUUUAUUGGCUUGGUCCCCAGAUCUGGUUUAACCAUAUCCUCAUUUAAAUAUCAACCGUGUCUCCAAAAAAAGUAUACUAAUAAUUAUUAUAUUUAUUAAAAGAAAGAAAGAAAGAAAUAUAAUUGUUCAGUUGAAGUUGUGUCACAAAUUAUAUUUCAUUUUUAUGUCUACAGAUUUGGUUUUGUUGCAAUUUCGUCUUUCAUAUAUUUUUAUUCUUUUAUUCUUCCCCAAAAAUUUGAUAAUUUUUUUUAUUAUAUUAUUACAGUAAUUAUGUACGUAAUACGUGUACUAUUAAGAUAGUAUUUGAGACGUAUAUAAAUAGUCAAAUAUGUUUAGAAAAGUAAAAGUGCUUGCUAACUUUUUUGGAAGUUUCUGAUUAUUUACAAAAUCUAAUGUUUAGACUAGUCAAAGUAGUAUAUCAUUAAUUUGUCCUAAUUUAUUUUAAUAAUUCCAUCUAACUUUUUAAAACAUUUACUUUUAGUUAUUCAUAUUUAAAAUAAGUGACUAAUAAUUUUUUUUAUUUUACCAAUUUAAAUAUUUUUAUUUAUCAAACAUAAAUUCCAUUUUCAAAACUGAUAAUAAUACUAAUAUAUAAUGAUGAUGUACACAAAAAAAUUUACUUCUUCCCUCCUUUCCUUUCCGAUCCACAACCCAGAUGGCCCUCAACCCUCGUCUUUUAAAUACUAAUAAGCUUUACCUUUUUCUUCUUCCCUCAAAAACUAGGAAAACAAAUUGCACAAGUAUUCAAGUAAUCCAGUCUCUAGUACUGUUUCACGUCACAGAGGUUUUAGAAGAAUAAAUUUAGAUUGCAGCUGGCCAAUCUUCUCAUCUGAACAAGCAAAUUGUGAGUUAAUCUUCCUCUCAUCUUCUUUCUACUUAUUGUUAUUUUUCCCAAUUAAACCACCACUACUUUACCCAUAUAAAUCUCUACCUUAUUUCUUUUUAGUUCAAACCACAAUUUUAAUGUUAUAGUCUUGCCAUUAACAGUUUAUGCAUACAAAUGCAAUCCAAGGUUGGAAUCUUAGAAUACAUAGCAUCGGCGAAUUUGUAAACCGAUACUACAAAAUUUUUAAUUCCGACCCUGCGGAUCGAAGCGGAUGUACGUGACGGGCUGUGCGAGUUAUUAGGUCAUUUUAAAAUUCGAGAAUUACCAUUAAGAAGCCCCAACUACCUGUCAAUAGAAAUUCUUGUUGUAACUAUUUUGUUUAUUACCGGUCUUGAUUGUAGUAAGAUCAGUCAAUUGUGUUUCAAGUUAAUUUGUUAAUUUCCCCCCAUGUUAACCUAACUUCAAAUUUUAAUCAGGGUUGUCAAAAAUUGUUCUUUAGCUUGUUUUAAUUUUCUUAAUGAUGUAAACGAAUGUAUCAGCUGGCAAGGCUGGAUCCACUCGUUUAAUCCAACUCUAUUCGUCUCGAAUUCUCUUAGCAUGAACUGAGCUCAAACAAAUCUCUCACCGACUAAAUAAAUGACCUUAUGUCCCAUUUGAGCCGGACUUGGGGCCCAACUUGCUUAUGCCUGGUUUGUUUAAUAUUUAUAUUCAUUAAAUAGUUAAUUAUACACAUGUGAGUUACUAUUAGUUAUAACAUUAUUACUUUACCUAUUAACCCAUGCCCUUUAUUAAACCAUCCAAGUUUGUAACUAAAGUCCAAACUUGUUUAAAGCUGAACUUGGAUUACCUUGUACUAUAAAUUUACUCGAGCUCGAGUCCGUUAAGCCAACCUGGCUCGACUCGUGUCAUUUACAGCUCUAGUAUUUCUUUUUCUGUUAGUUGCAUUUUUUUUUCUUCCCUGCAGCCCCUCCCCCACAAAAAUUAAAAAAAUAAAAAUAAAUCCUGUAUAUUUUUGAGCUCUAUACUACAAACAAUGCUUUAUUUCUUAUUCCUGUUUUUUUUUACUUUGUAAUCUACUUAGGUUGGGUGAUGGAAACUGGAGGCAAUUCUCUACCAUCUGGCCCAGAUGGAGUGAAGAGAAAAGUGUUUUAUUUCUAUGACCCAGAGGUUGGCAAUUACUAUUAUGGGCAAGGUCACCCAAUGAAACCACACAGAAUUCGUAUGACACAUGCUCUUUUGGCCCACUAUGGUUUGCUGCAAAAUAUGCAUGUUCUCAAGCCCAUUCCGGCUAGAGACAAAGAUCUUUGCAGGUUUCAUGCUGAUGAUUAUGUUUCUUUCUUGAGGGGCAUUACCCCUGAAACACAGCAAGAUCAGCUGAGGCAGCUGAAGAGGUUUAAUGUUGGUGAAGACUGCCCUGUGUUUGAUGGUCUCUAUUCUUUCUGUCAGACUUAUGCUGGGGGCUCAGUUGGUGGCGCAGUGAAACUAAACCAUGGAUCUUGUGAUAUUGCUAUAAACUGGGCUGGUGGACUUCAUCAUGCAAAGAAAUGUGAGGCUUCUGGUUUCUGCUAUGUGAAUGACAUAGUGUUGGCAAUUCUGGAACUCCUUAAAGUGCAUGAGGUUGGUCAAAUUUAUUUUUUCUUCUUUUUGCUAAUAGUCAUGUGCUCCAGCUAAGGAAACAUCUGCAUCAGUAUUCAGUAUGUAGGCAGUGGGCUUUCGAUUUUGUGUUGCUCAAUAUUUGGAAUCAAUUUUUUUUAAUCACGAUAUAGUAAGGUGGUACCUGAAAUUUUUGGUUAUAAACAAGAUUAAAUUCCAUUAUUGUUCUAUCAUUUUUACACCCUUAAAUACCUUUCCAUAGUCUGUUUCAUAAGCAUGUGUUCUGUAAUUGAUGGUAGAAGGAUUCACCCACUACAAUGCCACGUUAAUAAAUGCCGAGUCAUUGUUUAAGAAGCUCCAGGCUAUUUAUUUAUUUAUUUUUUACGUUCUAUAACUUUAGUCCAAUAUCAGUCCUAGGGUUAUCAUAAUUCGCUUAUUUGUGCUCAAGAUCACACAAUGCUAAUGGUGGGUCGUCUUUCUUGAUCGAAGAAUGCUUACAUUCCAAAUUCGAGAGUAACAGUCGGAAUGAGAGUGAAGAGAAAGAGAGAAGGAAUGAAAGUGCAUGUGUACGUGCAAUUUGGGUUUUAACAUCAGUUGAUCUCAAUUGGAGUUUAAAUCAGUCUCUCAAGUCUCAACUGAUUGCCUAUAUUCACACAACAGCUGAUUUUUGCAUAUAUAUUACUCCUUCCGUCUCAUAGUUAUAGGCUGAUUUCUUUUGGCACAUGUUUUAAAAAAAUCAGUUUAACAGAAAUUUUUCACAUAUACCCCUUAAUAUGGAAUUAAUGAAUAAGUUAAUUACUCCGUACUUAUCACACUGAAACUCUCAGCUUAAUUGAUCAACGUGUACUGACCAUUAAAAUAGAACUUUAACCAAAGAUGGAAUUUUUAAUCUACAUAAACUUUCAACCAAUCACAAAACGUUUAUGUUAUUCCAAAUUCAUUUAUUGAGCCUAAAAAGUUGAAUUCUUUUAUUGAGAAUACAACAACAUUAAAUGUAGUGAUAAAAAUAAUGACGUUGAAUGUUGUUUCUUCAAAAAAAAAAAAAAAAGGUAAUGGUUGAAUAUUUAUUAUAAGGGCAUAAAAGUAAAACAAUGAACUAACUAAAUUUAUAAAUAGUAAGUAGCCUAUAUAUUGGGAUGGAGGGAGUAUUUGGUCUUCACUCUUUAACUAAGUCUAUUGAAUGUUGUGAACAGAGAGAGAGAGAGAGUAAAUAGUAAGUAGCCUAUAUAUUGGGAUAUCCCAAAAUGGAAAAUCAGCCUAUAACUAUGGGACGGAGUGAGUAUUUGGUCUUCACUCUUUAACUAAGUCUAUUGAAUGUUGUGAACAGAGAGAGAGAGAGUAAAUAGUAAGUAGCCUAUAUAUUGGGAUAUCCCAAAAUGGAAAAUCAGCCUAUAACUAUGGGACGGAGUGAGUAUUUGGUCUUCACUCUUUAACUAAGUCUAUUGAAUGUUGUGAACAGAGAGAGAGAGAGAGGGAGGGAGGGAGGGAGGGAGGGAGGAUAUCUUGGAAUUUUUAAUAGAAGAGAAAACAAAAUGGAGGUGUCUUGGAGUUUAAGUUGCUAGAGAAAAGAAGAGAAAAUUAGGGUUAUUUGGGCCCAAAAGUUUUCUUCACACUUUUGUAAAGAAAGUGAAAAAAUAAAAUAAAAUGAAUUCUUCCCUUCCCUUCAUUUCUUUUCUCUCUCUAAAAAACUCCCAUACACAAAGGGGGUCCUUUCUGCAAUAUCCAAGGUUAUUUGAACAAAAAAAAUCCAAUUUUCUACAAAAUUUUGAUUUUGAUCAAGAAUCAUUGCAAUUUGCAAAUAGAAAUAAAUAAUCACAAUUUUACCUACUUGGUGAUUUUAAUUUAGAUGAUAUAAGAAUAGUUUUGUCAACUAUUCCUAUAAGCCUACCCCUGUUGGUACUGCUUUUCAUGGUAGGUGGAAUUAAUUGUUCCUAUUCCCAUUCUGGAAUUGAAAUGAUCCACGUUUUAGGUAACCUAGAUCAACCAUGAGAAAAACACCAAAUAUAGUGAGUUUUGUUAUGGUUAAUUGGCAUCAAUCAUCUUUUUAACUACAUUAUCAAUUUUCAUUACUAGGCAGUUUUUAGCUGGCUAUUUAAAUGUUUACUCUGCCUAUUUAUAUUUAAACCUCUAUACCAUUAUCUUUUAGCUUUCAAGUUUAUAAUUGACUCUUUGUUUACACUUAUAUUGCAGCGUGUUUUAUAUGUUGAUAUUGAUAUUCAUCACGGUGAUGGUGUCGAGGAGGCUUUUUAUACUACUGACAGGGUCAUGACUGUUUCAUUUCAUAAAUUUGGAGAUUAUUUCCCUGGUACAGGGGACGUACGAGAUAUUGGAUAUGGUACUGGAAAAUAUUACUCUCUUAAUGUUCCAUUAGAUGAUGGAAUUGAUGAUGAAAGCUACCAGUCCCUAUUUAAACCAGUUAUGGGCAAAGUGAUGGAAGUCUUCAGGCCUGGUGCUGUGAUCUUACAGUGUGGUGCGGACUCUUUAUCUGGGGACAGGUUAGGCUGUUUUAAUUUAUCAAUUAAAGGUCAUGCAGAAUGUGUGAGAUAUAUGAGAUCUUUCAAUGUGCCGCUACUUUUGUUGGGUGGAGGUGGCUACACAAUACGAAAUGUUGCUCGCUGUUGGUGCUAUGAGGUAGUUUUAUAUUCUUUAUAAUCAUCAUGUCUUAUUUAUUUAUGCUCUAAGAUAGCAUCAUGGUUCUUAAUAUUCUACUUUGAGGGUGUAUUUGGUUAACCUCCAAUGGAAGUUUAAUGUGCAUUUGGUUAACUAUUGGUAACUGCUAAGAUUCUCAAAAUAUUUUUAUAUUUUAAAAAUAUAUUUCCUGCUUUCUUUCUGAUUCAUUAAAAAAAGAUACACCAACAGAGAAGAUUCUCCAGAGUGGGUGUAAUGGCUUUUUAUCUGCUUUGAGGUGAGAGAUAUGAUGGAAGAGAUAAUGUUGAAAUUGUCAUUGCUCUUGUCCAAAAAAUUGAAUGUUGAAAUUGUCAUUUGUAUGGGUUGUACCUCAUUCUGGAAUAUCCACUGUUGGUUUAACAUUCCUCAUGAUUUUCAGAAGAAAAUUGUUCCAAAUAUAAGAGGAGAACCUUCUUUCUAACAUUAUUUGCAGGAUGGAGAGAGUACUAAUUAUAGGUAGUUGGAGGUUUUCCAAAACAAAAUUCAAAUAUUCACCUUCAUGCUCAAGCAUUUUUAUUUAAUUUUUCAUUUUUCUUUUCCUUGUAGUUGUUUUUAUAAAGAGGAAAUGAUGAAAUAAUGUUGGGUGCAUUAUAGACUUUCUGCAUAUUCAUUUAACCCCGUGUAACAAGUAGCACUUUAACACAUAAAGGUGGUUUCUAGUUAUUUGGUGAUUUUGUACAGCAAUGGUUAUUUGCAUCUGUGCUCAAACCCCAGGGAGGCAAAGUGCAAUUUCCUGGUUACCUUGAGGCUGAUUGAAGUUUGCCUUAUAUUAAUUAUUAUACAUUUAUCUUUUGAGCAGACUGGAGUAGCACUUGGGACAGAACUUGAGGAUAAGAUGCCACAACACGAGUAUUAUGAGUACUUUGGUCCAGACUAUACUCUUCAUGUAGCUCCAAGUAACAUGGAAAAUAAAAACUCUCGUCAAAUACUGGAUGAAAUAAGAGCAAAGCUUCUUGACAACCUCUCAAAACUUCAGCAUGCUCCAAGUGUGCAGUUCCAGGAGCGACCACCUGAUACUGAGCUUCCAGAGGUUUAUUUCUGAAUCUUGUUUAGUUCUUGCCGUUCCUCUUCUCAUCUUGAUGGAUAUCUACAUGAUAACAGAUUAUGUGUAUCAGAUUAUAGUAUGCCUAACUAGACAAGUGACUUUUUCAUAAAAAUAUUUUAACUUUUAGGCAGAUGAAGAUAAUGAAGAUGAAAGGUGGGAUCGAGAGUCUGACAUGGAUGUCGAUGAUCAGUGGUACAUCUCUUCUAUUUAUAUUCGAACUUUUUAUAGCUAUGCUUUUGAUGGCUAAAGCGUACCUUACUUUUCUUCUACAGUAACUCAUUGUCUGGAAGAGUGAAGAGAGAAUUCCUUGAACCUGAGCGUAAAGAUGUGGUAUGUUUCCUUCAACUUUUCUAUAAAAGAAUGUUUAUAUCAAUUUUGAUCGCUUAGCAUUUACGAAAUUAUUCCUAAAUUUUUUAAGUGAACAAAUGAUAUAUAGAAGAGGUAUAUCAUACUUCUGUUCAAAUGAUAUAUCCUAUGGGUAGGAGAUAGAAGAGGUCUUUGGAUGGUGCUCUCCCCCCCCCCNNNNNNNNNNNNNNNNNNNNNNNNNNNNNNNNNNNNNNNNNNNNNNNNNNNNNNNNNNNNNNNNNNNNNNNNNNNNNNNNNNNNNNNNNNNNNNNNNNNNNNNNNNNNNNNNNNNNNNNNNNNNNNNNNNNNNNNNNNNNNNNNNNNNNNNNNNNNNNNNNNNNNNNNNNNNNNNNNNNNNNNNNNNNNNNNNNNNNNNNNNNNNNNNNNNNNNNNNNNNNNNNNNNNNNNNNNNNNNNNNNNNNNNNNNNNNNNNNNNNNNNNNNNNNNNNNNNNNNNNNNNNNNNNNNNNNNNNNNNNNNNNNNNNNNNNNNNNNNNNNNNNNNNNNNNNNNNNNNNNNNNNNNNNNNNNNNNNNNNNNNNUGUAUUUACUGCUUUUGUGCAUAGGUAAAUGAUUGGGGGGAAGGCCAGGGGCCCAUUUGGUUAUAUGGGUGGUGGAGAUUUGGACAUUGGAGAGUUGGAUUGUACCCACGAGUAGAAUCAGGUUUUAUCACCAACCUAUUAGGAUUACUUAGUGACUUGUCAUUAUUUCAUCAGACAGAGCAAGUGUAGAACUGGACUUUAGGCAGAGAAUUUUUUUUAGAUCAUCUUUUGUCACCCCUUAAUUGCAGAUGUCAGACAGUUUGGUUACUUCAAAUUUUUGGGUGGUUCAUAACUGUUGGGAUGUUAGAUUACCCAGCAAUAUGCCCACGUCUAAAAUGAGUAGAGUAUGAAGAAAAGGGGAUUUCCAGGAAUUUUAAACUGCUGCAGGUUCAUGGGAUUCUCCAGCUCCAGACUGGGUUGCUUAUCUCCAGUUUACAGGUAAAAAGUGUUGAUGAAUUUUCCCUCCUUUAUUGUAUCACAAAAGAAAGUAGUGAACAAUUCCUCUUCAGGCUCUAGUUUUUCUUCAAACUUGCUUGUUUUUCUGGAGGGGAUAGAUGAGGGCAGAGGUAUAUAUCACUCUUUUGUCAGAGGUUGAAUACAUUGACUUUAGAUUACUUUGCUCAUAAUUUUAAGAUUCUUGAUUCAUCAAGUUAAUUUCAGACUGUACAAAGCUAAUUUUGACACUUCAUUCCUUUUUAAGUGUAAUUUUAGAGAUUUUUUUGCAUUCCUCUAUCUGUCCUUUGCAGAUUCAAAGGAGAACUAAUUACCAAGUUUCCCAUAUUACCUGUAAAUAUUAAAUACAGACUUGUUUCUCUCUCAUCUUUCAGACUAAUUUUACUACAAUGAAAUAACACCUUAUAUUCUCUCUCUCUCUCUCUCUCUCUCUCUCUCUCUCUCUUAUUUACAUACAAGGAUAAUAUUGAUGUUUUAUACCUGUUUUAAUUAAUUAGUUAAGAGUAUUAAUUACAUUCCUUAAUCUACUAGUGUACUUCUAAAAUGACGCUUAGAAAGCAAUGGAAUGAGUACUUCGUUAUCUGUUAAGCUCUACCAGCUCGUUCAAGGUUUCUGUAAUCCUGAAUGUGUGGUCUAGGUUAAUCCAUAGUAUCUGCAUCAUACACGUUGAUUGUUGGGUCAAUGCGUUCUAGAACACAAUUUUUUUGGCUGCAGUAGUGACGCAUCUUUCUGUUUCAUUUUCAGGUUGAUGUUAGAGUAGGGGAGCAUGCAAGGGAAAUGGAUGCAGCAUUCACAGAGACUGCAUCAUUAAAGGUCAAGCUCUGACAACGAUUCUGCGUUGCAAACAUUAUGUAGUUCUAACAGGUUUCAGUUUUUUGAUUUCUUUGAUCAGGUCUCAAAUUCAAAUUCAACAUCUAUGGAUGAACCACAUAUUAAAUCGGAACAAGGAAACUCAAACAAACCAUCUGAUGAGCAUGCAGAUAUGAAUUCAUAGGGUGGAUAGGGCCCACUAAACCCCAAAAAAAGUCUUGUAAGGUUUAUUGGGCUCGUUAUUGCUGCAAUAAUAUUUAUUUGCUUUGCAACUGUUCUAGAAUUUUGUGACUAGAAUGACAAGGCCAUGAAAAAACAAUUUUAGGUGCUAAUUUUUCACUCAAAGAAAUGGAACUUUCCCGACAAUAUGCCGAUGGUGCCUUAACUGCAACAACAUUUGUAACUAUAUAUAUAUAUAUACCUAGUUGAGUGGAACAAAGUCACGGUUUGAUUAAAAUUGGUGCCCGUGAAAACUAACCUUUAUAAUUCACGACUUGGACAGUUGAACUUUGCAAGCUGGUUAGAUGCGUCAGUCUUCCUAUUUCUCCAUUGUUCCCAUCAGACCUUAAAAUAAUGAAAUACGUGAUUUUCUUUCUUAAUUCUAAGUUAAUAUAUUGUUUAAAUCAUCAUUAAAAGAAUGAAUUAUAACAUGUAGCUAAUAUAUUUUCUUCUGGAUUCUCAAACAUGGCCCCACGCUGGUUUGGACUAGUAGGAUGGUAAUGAAAAGUCAUGGUUUCACAGCCCCACUCCGUGACUUUUCGGCCUAUCCCUCUCUUCUUCUCUCUUUAGUGAUACAAGUUUCAUUUUUACUAGUUCAUCCAUAUAUUGAUGAUCCGUAUGUUAGAGAGUCAGAGACCCGUGUUGGCUAUGAAAAAAGAAAACAAUUGCACAUAUCCUCGGUCCAACCACUUGCUCACAUGGAAUUUUAACAUCUUUGGCUCCAUUAUAGAUUUCACUUCUGAUACACAAGGUCAUAGCCACAGGCAUCAUCCAUUCACUAUUCACAUACAAAAGAUUUCCAUACUCCACUUCUCUUGACUAAUCACACCUGGCAAAUAUAUAUUAAUAUAGCUCCCGUCCCGCAGUCGCAAUUUAUUACUGUGAACGGAUAAAUGUAAAUGUAUAAAAUACCUCUGCUUAUACAAAUCCAAAACUUUGGCAUCCGCGAUAUUAAAUUGAGGAGCCUAAAACAUCUUUUCAAGUUUUUCAAAUCACCUACCAGCCGUCUUGACAAAACAAUGGCGACCAUGGUGACAGUAACCACCUCCACAAAAUCUUCCUUAAUUAAAGCACCCACAAACCUUCCAUCUUCAUCAGUAGCACCACCACGUCCACCACCAAACCCCACCCAACACCCCCAGAUCCCACUAAUAUUUCCUCUUCAACUGUCCAAAACAUAUCCAAUCACUUUUCAAGGUUGUAUUCAAACCAUAAAGCUACUGCAUCCUUGAAACCUUCAAGUGGACAACCACAACCUUAUAUGGACACCCGUUUGCAAGCAAAAGCCAUGUCUGUUUCCACUACUUCAGAUGCCUCAAUUUCAUCACUCGUUAAGUUAAAAAGGAAAUAUAGAAGAAAUUCAACAGAUUUGGGUACAGGGUCAAUCAAGAAAUCUCAUGAAGACCAUAUUGAUACCAAAAGAGCAAUUGUAAGUUAUAAAACAGACUAAAUCAAGAAAUCAUCCAAGAAAGAGAGGGAAAAGAGGAAAUCUCAGCUGGAAGGGCGGGAUAUCAAGAAACCCAUUGUGGGACCAACACGGCAGUGCCAAGCAGUGGAGGAUGAAGGGGGCAGUUGGUAAAGCAGACGGGUUUCAUUUUUAGGCUCCGCAGUAUUACCAAAGUUUUUUUAAAAAAAAAUUCUAGACUCCGCAGUUUAAUAUUGCAAACGGAUGAUUUAUAUAAGGAGGGAUAUUUUAGACAUUUAUCCCGUCUGCAGUAUUAAACUGGAGUUAUUAAUCGAUAUUCGAAUGGACGCUCAUAAUUUGUUGCAAGACUAACCUUAAAUUGACAACAUUAGCGAUCAGUCCCAAAAAAAAAAAAUAUAUAUAUAUAAUACAUCCACCAAUCAGAUAAAGCCAACAGACGGACACACCAGAGAGAAGGUUGUUAGUUUACCUAUCAAUCAAAUAAACCCCCAAAAGAUACAUAUGAACUUGCAAAUUAAUACAUACGAACACUGUUCAGUUUUCAGUUUUCUUCCAUUGCUAGUCAUGCCAAGCAAAGUCUCCUUUGCCUUCUCUCAAACUUCUCCCUCUCCUAUAAUCAACUUCUGCAUCAGAGCUUGACAAACCCAAAUGAUACUUUCUGCUGAUUCUGGAUGUCCCCAUCUUAGAAAAAAUGUCUUCACUGUCACUCAAGAUAAGGUCACCCUGUUUAGUUUUCACAGUAACAUCCCCAAGUUGCCUCCGUGAUCCAUGAUCUGAAUCAUAUAAGAAAAAGAACAUUAGUGCAUACAGGAAAAUGAUGCUAGUAAAGAAGAUAGGAAGGAAAGGUCUGAAAGUCGGGAAAAACGGACUCUCAUACCAGCAUAAUAAGAAACAACAAAACUUGUGACCAUAACAAGAAGACAAACUUUGGAAGUCUUACGACAGUUCCAAUCUUUCCUAUGCUUUAUUCAACAGCCUUGCAGACAGUGCAUAAAUACUAGUACUGAAAAUUCACCUUCAAAAUCAUUGCAUAAAUGCAAGUUUGUAUGUGUUUUCACUGCCUUUGGUCUGUUAUCUGUUGAUAAAGUUACUAUAGCUUCCUCCGCAUGUGGCUUAUUGGGGAUGAAAGGAGUGAUGGUAAAGGAGUCCUCCAUAACAUCAGAUAUCUCAACAUACUGAGCUGUAGUGACAAUUUCAUCAGCACUGAACCCAAAGGAUGCUCGAUAAGCUUCUAUUUCCUCAACAUCUUGUUUGCUAACUUUGUUCUGUCUGCUUUGAUGCCCAUUUCCACCACUAGAGUAAACAUCAGAUUCCCUGGAAACACUUAGCCUCCCACCAGACUGAGACAACGAAGAUUGGUCCAGAUAAAAUUGUGCAAAUGUAUCAGGACAGAAAAAAUUUGAAUCUUGAGACAACUUGGAGGCACUGGCUGUAUCAAGCCCAUAAAACCUGCCCGAUUCAGACCUUGGGUGUUUUAGUUCUUGAGGAACCGAAGGGUCCCAUUGAGGAGCAAACUCCCGAUCAGGAAAAGACAAUGAUAGACAGUCACCAGAGGUCAUUGAAACAGGUGAUCUGAGGCUACUGGCUGGACUUCCAGGAUAAAGAGAAUAUGUUGCCUGAAGAUCAUUUGCAGCAAUGUAGUUUGCCUUGUCACGGUUUUUAAGAUCCAUGGAAGAUGAAAGGAACUGUGCAAAAGGCACAUCUGGGGAAGAGGGUGUAGUUAAAUGAGCCAACUCUGGAGGGGGUGUGAAAGGAGCAGUUGAUGGCUCAGUUGUGAAGGUCGAGAAAACAGGAGGAGAUACAAGUUGAGUCUCGUGUGCAUAUGGCCCUGUGGCAAACAUAGUGGAUGAAGGACCUCCUGGUGAGUUGGCAGACAAUGACAGGAAACAGUUGGGUGACUGAGCUGUUGACUGAAGAGCAGAAUUUGAAAAGGAUGCAGGGGAAGACGGCGGUGCUAAAAGAGAUGGAUGUAGUGCUGUAGUCUGAUUAUUUAACCCAACAGCUUGAGGUCCAUUUGGCUGAUUUCCCAAUGCAUUGGCCUCUGGAAUACGCGAUGCAGGUACAACCCGCUUCCCACCCUUCUGUGUGCCAAAACAAGACAAUCCACCCCAACAUCCUCCCCAUCUCUUUCGCUGUCAAAGUAUUCGACCACUAAAAAUCAAUUUUCAGAUUGCCACUCAAAAUUAAAAGAACGAAUGUAAUAAAUUACUUAUGGGUUGAAGCCUGACAAUUUUGUGACAUAAAUGCACACCUUUCUAGACACUCCUUCCAACAACAAACGGUUCAUUAUUUUAAGAGACCAGAGUUCAUUCAAGUUAACCAUUAAUAAUACAGUUCAAACUUAAUGAUUAAAAGUUCAAAAUUCGAGAUGACCUUAGAUUGCAAUAUUCAGCUCAAAAAAUCACAGUUGAAAGUGUUAAAUGUAUACACAAACAAAUGCUAAAUGGGAUUUUCCAGUCUCCCAUUCAAUCAAUUCCCUCCCACCAUAUCUUAAACCAGAACACCCCUAUGCUAUAUUGUAGCCACCUUACCUUACUACCUUAGACUUCGCCAUUAAGGAGCUUGCCUCAGGCCCUCAACCCCCCUAUCCAGUUCUGAUUGAGUUACUCAUGGCCUACUUAUCAACCUAGCUUGAAAGAAAUUAUUGAAUGGUAGUGGUUCUAAUGGAAAACAUAAUACUUCUAAUAUGGCUACAAAAUGGUAAAGAUGUUGCGUAAUUAUAUAAAUAUUUUGAUUUAGAUUUUAAAAUCUCUACACUUCCAAGCUUGCUAAAUUGAAUGGAAUUCGAAGAGUGAUGUCAAAAGCUUUUCAAUAUUUUGCAUCCGGUUAGGCAAGGAUUUUGUAAUUUCGAUUAGACCAUGCAUGCAGAGCAAUAACAAUUGGGACCAUUUCCAGUUAUAAGCUAUAGUUAAAUUAGAGUUUACCUUUACAAGUUUAGGGUAAGAAUAAGGCUAACCAAUCACAUCCUUAUUCUUACGCAUGGCUAAGCAUAAAAGACGAGAAUAAUAUAUAAAAAUAGAGGAAAAAGCAACAAUAAAUGAGAUAUCAGUUAUAUGCACUUCUAGCAAGUAAAGUGCAGAGUAACUAGUUGUUGGCUGAGGAAUAAGAAUCAAAUUUGUUGACCUAAAGCAUAUAAGUUGUGUAGUUGGAACUUGGAAGACACCUACUAGAAUUUGGCUACUUAUUGGGAAGAGACCAGCAAUUCAACAAACUGCAGUGGGAUAUUAAGGACAGCCAGGUAGCCUAUCUGAUGUGGAGUAGCACCAUAACAUACAAGUAAGGAUAUUCUUCAAUAAAAUAAGAUAUUUAAAGAAUAUAAAUAUUUUUCACAGUAGAAAAUAACUUGAGGCAAAGAGUCAAAUUUAGUUAAGAUACUAGUCAAAAUUGUGGCCCAACAUUUUCCUAAUAUUUUUAUCGGGAAAUUUAUUUCCUAAAAUCAACACGCACAGAAUUAAAGAACUUGAAAAUGUCAACCAAUCUCAAGAAAUACUUUGCAGUUUGAUAUAUAUUAUGUUUUCUCUAUUUAAUUGGAAAUUAAUGAUGUGACACUGAAAUGGAAAGAGAUGGAUUAAUCCAUUUGAGCAGUCGCAUUCAGUUUUAUAUGUAUGGAUAUUGACAAUUCAAACAGUUCAACAGACAGGUAUAUGCAUUUAAUAAAAAGCAAUCUAGGGGAAAACAAUAAAAUAGAAGGACAAGUCACUAAAGAUUAAAGCAUUUAAUACUCAUACAUUUUUUUAAAGAUAGAAAUCAGAUUCAAAAUGCAGUUUAGAUGCAAGUCUUUAGGUUGCCAAUUCUUGUUUGGGUAACAGAUCCAGGCUUCUAAUUAUCUUAACAACACAGGUGAUAAGCAGGUCAAGCAGAUCUGAGCUGCUCAACAUGCAGGCAAACAACUAUUUAUAUAAAGUAGUAAUCCAAACAUUAAAUAUAAGGCAAAGUGAAGUGAAUAAUAAGUAAUCUCAGAAUGUAAUGGUACCAGCCAUCUAAAUUCAGAUCUAGCAAAGAAAGAAACCUGUUUGUACCCAAAAGUGCACUCAACCCAGAGCUUUAAAGCAGAAAAUGCGAAUUGGGUCAGGAAGGAGUGCUCUCUCACUCUCUCUAGCACACUUUUUAUCUAUCCCCUUCUCAACUUCCCUACAACAGAUCUGACCCUCAAAAAAAAUCCUUGAACUCCAGUAACAGAACCCAUCAGACAGAAGAAAACCGUAAGACACUAAUUACACAAAUUACAAAGCGGUGGUCUCUGUGAGUGAUUAGUGCGAUAAAAAGAAGAAAAUCAGAAGUAUUUAACAAUGGUCCAGCAGCUUUUGGGUGUGCUAAGGAUUAGAGAAUACAAAUAGUAAAGAUAAAAGAACAAAUGCAAGAGGAUGUAGUGGGUAGCAGCAGAUCUGAAGAUAAUACCCGUGGAGCUGGAGGCUGUUGCUGCGGAAAUCUGAUCUGCUCCGACCCCAUUGUUAUCAAGAAGCUUUUUAUUUUGUGUUUGUUCUUAUACUUGUACUUCGUAAUUUCAGUGCCUGUGUUUGCAUUUCCUUUCCCAAAUAUAUAUACCCCUCGAAAUUUAUAAUCUAGUAUAUAUAUAUAAAUAUUUAAAUAUAAGAAGGCCUUCAGUAGAAGGCUAGAAGCUGACAGUGUGUAGAUUUAGUAGAGAGGGAAAGAGGAGAGAGAGAGAUCUGCAUGAAAGAGAAAGAGAAAGAGAAAGAUUCUUUUUUGUUGUUGUAAUUUUCUAGUAAUUUGUAAUUUAUUUCAAGGGUUUGAGGAAAAUGGGUGAAAUGGCAGAGGGGGAGGAUAUGGAUGGUUUGGAGGAAGAAGAUGAAGAUGAAGAGAGCCCUUCUCCUUUCUACGUUAGCAACUACUACUACAGUACGAGUCUACUACUCAGACUCAUCACUGAUACUGCUGCGAGUGUGUGGAUUUGCUACGGAGCUGCAAAUAACAUCUAACAAAUAUACAUGCGCGCGUGAGCGCGUCUCAUUAUUUUCACUAUCCUUUUUUCCUUUUUUNNNNNNNNNNNNNNNNNNNNNNNNNNNNNNNNNNNNNNNNNNNNNNNNNNNNNNNNNNNNNNNNNNNNNNNNNNNNNNNNNNNNNNNNNNNNNNNNNNNNNNNNNNNNNNNNNNNNNNNNNNNNNNNNNNNNNNNNNNNNNNNNNNNNNNNNNNNNNNNNNNNNNNNNNNNNNNNNNNNNNNNNNNNNNNNNNNNNNNNNNNNNNNNNNNNNNNNNNNNNNNNNNNNNNNNNNNNNNNNNNNNNNNNNNNNNNNNNNNNNNNNNNNNNNNNNNNNNNNNNNNNNNNNNNNNNNNNNNNNNNNNNNNNNNNNNNNNNNNNNNNNNNNNNNNNNNNNNNNNNNNNNNNNNNNNNNNNNNNNNNNNNNNNNNNNNNNNNNNNNNNNNNNNNNNNNNNNNNNNNNNNNNNNNNNNNNNNNNNNNNNNNNNNNNNNNNNNNNNNNNNNNNNNNNNNNNNNNNNNNNNNNNNNNNNNNNNUUUUUUUUUUUUUUUCCAUUUCGUUCCUUUUUUGUCUCCUUUUGGCAUCUGCUGUAGUUUGUACUGUACGGAAAAAACGACUAAAGGUUUAAAUAUUUUUGUCUUUAAAAGUAUACGAUAAAAUGAAGAGUAACUUAAUCAUUUAGUAUUAUUAUUAGAAGAUAUAAUAAAAUAUAUUAUAAAUUAAAAGAUAACUUCAAAAUUAAAAUAUAUUAUUUAAUAGUGUCUAUUAGUAUAAAAAAUAAAAAUACUAAUCAUUUUAUAUAAAAAGUUUUAUUAUAUUUUCUCUACUUAAUACUUUAGGGACUGACGUUUAGUGAAAUAAAAUAUUGUUUUUUUAUAUAUAUAAAAGUUUUAAGUAUUUACAAUAAAGUUAAAUUAUGUUUUGAUUACAUAAUUGUAAUUUUUUUUAAAUAAAAUUAUAUAAAAGCGUACUGUACAGAUUUUUAGUUUUUCUUUAAUAAUUAAAUGAGAAAUUGUACAUAGUAUUUUGGUGAAACGUACUUCCUAAAAACUUUACUCCCUAAAAGUCAUUUUAAAAAUAUUUCAAAAACUAAAAUAUUAUUUUUAUUUUCAAUUUUUUUUAAAAAAAAAUACUUCCACUCAAUUUUAAUAGUUUGUUCAGAAGUUAAAGGUAAUGUAUUAAUUUUAAAUUUUAAGAUAAUAUAAAAAAUUUAACAUAUUAUUAUUUAUAUUAUAAUUAUAAAUAGAUUAAAUAUUAUGAUUACUGUAUUUCAAACCAUACUUGAGAAUAUAACAAUAACAAUAAUAAUAAUAAUAAUAAUAAUAAUUACUUCAACCCAAUCAAUCACGUAAUUUGUAAAAGCAAAGUCUGGCGGCGUUAUAUUGUAAUAUCAUUACACUAAAUUAAUUUGAGAGUGGUUUCAUGUCCAAAUUUGAAGGGUUAAAAAUUAUUGUAUACAAUAUUUUUCAUAAAUUAAUCUAAAUAUUAUGAAUGAUCUAUUUAUAUAAUUGGAUAAUCAGUACUAACAAAGAUUGGUAUAAUAAAUAAAUGUAUGGGGUGCACCGCUAGUGGCCACCGGAUGAAAUUGACGUUACUAGGGACCAUGCCUGAACUUGGAUAGGAGGAUGGGGAAAUGGAGAAAGAAAACAUCUCUCUCUCACUCAUGAAGCUCAUACCCACUACUACAACUAUAGUAGUAAGCUGAUUCAAGAAUAGCCUUGCGAGUUGCUACAUUUUUAUUUUUAAUUUUAAUUGACGAGAAACCAGUCUAGUCUAGUCUAGUCUAACAACACACUACUACUACUACUACUACUACAUUGGCUUCCAACUACAAAUAAACUACACAUACUGGACAAUUGAGUUGGGAAAAGACAACCUGGAUAAUAAUUUAUUCUUAAACAUCGACCUGGAUGUUUUAGAGAGAAAAUACUACUCUAGUAACAACAUUUAAAAUUAAGAGACCGACCAAAUUCAAGUCACUUGUUGAGAGUCAUACAUUGGACACUACUACUCUAUUAAAAGUAUCCCUAAAGACAUCAUCAUCUAUAUAUCCAGCCUGCCGGAUUUGAACCGACAGCCGAAGGAUCAAGCAAUUUCAGGAUAACAAACCCCAGUAAUUGUCUAAUCCUUCUGCUCUUCCAUUUGAGCUAAGGCCGGUUCUCUUUCUUAGUUCAGGCCCAUUCCAUGCAAAUUCAAGCAUGUAUAGUUUUUCCUAUGAAGAAUCAGAGGAGAAUAUAAAUUAUGUUUUGCAUUCAAGCUCCCACACAUAAGCAGAGACUUUUUCCUAUUUAUUAUGUUUGUAGACUUGAACAUUACACUACUACUUCUUCUUCUUCUUCUUCAAUAUUACUUAAAACUUAUUGUUGUGCAAAUUUAAAUACUCCUUCCGUUUCAAAAUUUGAACUACAUUUCUAAAAUGAUGCUUUAACAGGAAAACCAAACAAAAAAAAAUGUCCAAUAAUUAAUUGUAGAAAUAUACUAGGUACUAGUGACAUGAUAGUGCUUAUUAUUUUAUGGCGAAAUUAGGAACUCCUAUCAUUCAUACUUUGAACUGGAAAUUUAUAACCAAUUUUGGAAUGGACUAAAGGAGCAUCUUUUAUUUUGUUAAGGAGGAGGGAGUAAUCUUGUAAAAUAUACUAAAAAUAGACUUUUCAAACCAUGCGUCGAGGUAGUGUAUCCUUCACAAAUAACUUUUGCCACAACAAUGUUGUUGUGAGAACUAAUUUUUGUUACUUUUCCUGUUUUCCAACUGAAAAAAUACAUGGAACGAAAUAAAAUAAGUUGAAUUUGCAUCUAUCAAAAAAGUUCAUUUAAAAGUUUGAUUUGAAUUGCACGGCCAAUUACUGCAGAUUUAGCCUGAGUGGGUUAUCCAUAAAAUGCUGCUGCAAACACUGGAAGGCUCCGAUGCUGCCAAUAUCUUCAUUAUGAAAAAUAUUUUGAAAUUGUUAUCCUCACGAGAGAUUACCAAUUUUAUUUUAAAGUAUGAGCACUUGGUUCAUGGUUCAUUUUUUUGUGGGUUUUUGGCUCUUUGCGAUUGGUUUAGGUUUAUUAGUAGAUGUUAUCUGUUGAAUGUUGCCACCUUUCAUCUCAUAAUACAAACAAACUACCUGACGAGUUGGGCACUUAAAACCAUAAAAAUAGGCCCCAGAUAAUAUAAUGUAAAUAGUAAGGGAUAGGUAAGGAAACACAUACCAGAGUCCCCAACCAACCUCCACAACGUCGGUCAGAAUACAAGUGGCUUACCCCUGCGCCAAAAAAAAAGUGGAAAAAGAAAAAGGACAAGGAAAGAGUAACUAAUUAAGAAAAAAUUUAAACUUUGUAUCAUCUGAAUCUAACUAAUGUAUAAGCAUUUGGCAAAAAAAAUUAAAUAAAUUUGUCAUGAUAUAUCCUCAUAAAUCUGUUGGGUUAGCAAUCUCAACUCCUAAAAUAAACUAUAAACAUGAUAUUCUUUGAUGAAGUUCUUUAACUUAAUUCACAAUCGUUCAUAAUUAUAUUAUCGAGUACACAUUAUCAUAUAUAUAUAAAUAAUAUUAGCAGAAUACUCUUGCACAAAUAUCAUUUCCAUGAUACUUUCCGACAUCAGCCUUCAUUUAAUCUAACAUAGUCAGGACAAACACAAAACAGGUCAUUUAAGGGUUUGCAUUAGCUCAUAGGGGCACUUUUAAUAGAUAAAGCUCCAUAGUUUGUUAAGCUACAUGGACAAAAAUUUUAAUAAAAAUCCGAUCACACACCUUGCACUUAAUAUCUACCAUCUUAUUUUGUUUAGUCCAGUAUUUCAGUAAUUUGAAGCUAGGCCAAGCCUGGCACAGACAACUAUGGUCAAUUAGAAGAUGUGGAAGUAUAUACAAACAUUCCCAUCCAUAUCCGAUAGAAGAAAGCAUGAUGAUUGAGGGAAUAUUUAAUUGUAGUUAGCCUGGUUGUUGCGGUAACAAUUUUUAUAUUUUGAUCAUAUUAAACAGGCCAAGGUUUUACACAAUCUCAUAUUUUAAUGGGGAAGAUACUAAUCAACCUCUAUAAGCAAUUAAUAUUCCCAGGGUACAAAUAGUUUUUAAUUAAUGAAUGGAAGAAAAUAACAAAGAGAAGUAUUAUCGGUACAAUAUAUUCAAUUUCAUAUUUGGUAUUAAAGAAUGAUGUUAUAAGGGCAUGUCUGUACAUAAGAGUAAUAUCAAAAAAUGCUACAAGCAUAAAUAAAAGAAUGACCGAUUUACAGUUUUCAAGAGGAGAAACUCAUCUGCAACUCAGAAAUAUCUACAAGAAUUUGCACAUGAGUCUGUCAUUGAUCAUCUUUGACAAGGUAAAUAUCCAAUGCAAAAAAUCAGCAUAGGAUCAUCAUCCUGCCUAGAGAGGACAGUGACACAACCUGAAAAAAGAUAAAUGUGACAUCAUUAAUAACUAUUUUAUAUGGAAUUUGACGUCGCAAAUAUUCAGGGUUCUAUGAGCACUUAAAAAUAUAAUUCUCAAUCCGUCACAAACAUGUGAAUACACUCCACCUCUCUUCUUUCUUAUCCCCAAACCAGAUUCAACAUUAAAUCAGAUGGAAAUAUUGUUUGUUCUUCAUCAAACUAGAUCAUGUCAAUCAGAUCCCACGGACACUCCUCGACAGUGGGCAUAAACUUUGUUGGGUAUGGCUGAUAUAAAUGCUCAUGUUCGGGAAACAUUAAAAAGAAGUUAUCAAGCAAAGGAGAAGUGUAUAAAUGGUAAGACCACCCAACCAGAACUCCAUGGGAAAAGCCAUUUUCUAGUGACAUGACCUUAUUUUUCAUUUCGAUAAGGGCAAAUGAUACAGGCACAUAAUCAGGAAAUCCUUAAAUGUACUCUAUUUAAUAUGUAUCUGCUUCCAAUGGAGGAUAUUAAAAAUUAACUGUCAAUAACUUUUCUGCUCUAUAUAUUGGCAUAUUUACCGACUCUAAGUUCAUUGUUCACUGUUCACUGUUCACAUGCAUAGCUAUAGUCUAUAGACUUGCAGAUCUCCUUUGUCAACUUAUUUAAAUUCACAAUAUGGUCAGUUUUCACCUUCUCUCAACCCUAACCCAACUAACAACCAAGGGAGAAAAAUAAGGAUCGAAAUAAUCUAAAAAGAAAAAGAAAAAAAAAAUACAUCGAUAAAGAGGAUACACCGACAUAGUUUCAAAAAUUGACUCUGUUGCAUGACAUUUCUUAGAAUGAACAUGAAAUAGAUAGAAUAAUUUAAAUCAAAUCUACAGUAUUUAUAUCUCUAUAGAAGUUAGAACAAGACACCAUCUUAUAUGCGCUGGUCUACUAGAAUAUAUGAAUUAAUAAUUGACUUGAUUUUGCUAGUUAAUGCACGAAAAUCAUUUAAAUAAAGCAGUACGUGAGCUGGGUUCAAAACGUCGUGAGACAGUUUUAGAGGUAAUUGAAAUAACAUCCAGUUUCUCAUUUCAAUUCAAGCAUUCUUAUCCAGUUGUGUCGCAUUACUGCUUGCUUCUACAAACCCACAAAAAUAAACUAUUUGCUUUGAAAACUGAAAACACAAUCAUCACUAAUUAGAUUCAACGCACAGAAGCAUUAACCAUGUGUUUGAGGAAUGCAAUUUGGUGAGAGAUUGCAUAUAAUACUAUAGUUGUCUCAAAAAGUUAUGCAAACAUUUAGCUUGUCUCAAAGUGGCUAUACUAACAAGGGUCUAUUGAAUUUAGAGGCUACGCAUAUUAGGGACCACAAAAAAGUACCCUCAGGACGAAGAACCAAAAGAAACUGGUCAAUGGUAAGUGGUAACAGCUACAAACCUAUGAUAGUCGUUUAUGUCACAAUGCAGCCUAAGCGCAAAAGAAUCGCCUGUGAAAUAGAACAGAAAACAAAUAAGAUCAAGUGAAGAUUCAAAUAUACAAGUGAAUUGCAGUAAGGUAAUCAAUAUACAUACCAGGAUAGUAACUCCUAAUAAAGCUUCUUAAUUCAGUGAUCGACGACACCUAGAGAGAAAAUAAUCAUAGUUAAUAGGGAGCUGAAAUUGCAAACAAACAAAGUUGUUGAGACUAGGAAUCAACUAGACCUGACAAAUGGGUUGUGUUGGUAGGGCUGAAUACCCAUGGUUUGGGUACUUGUGAGUGAACUACCCAUUACCCAAGUACCCAACCAGUUAAUUUUGACAAAUUUUUCUCUAAAAAAAUGUUUAUAUCACAAGAAACUUUGUAAAAAAUCCCAACUUGAAAGUAAUAAUAUACCAAUAAAAUUUUAAAUAUUUAGAGUACCAGAUUUAAAGAUAACGUGAAAGAGAGAGAAUAAGAGGAAGUGAAUUAUGCCACCACACCCUGAAUACAAAUAUUACGAAGCUAUCCUUUUUACAAUAGGAAAAGAUUUGCAACUUAAAAUAGAAAAAGGCUAUCAACUUAAAAAUGUUUUCAACUUUGACUACGAUAAGGAUAAUAUUUAAUAAUAUUAAUAAUUAUAUAAUUAAUAGUUAGUAUGAAUGGGCAUGGGUACUGACACCGUGGGUUGGGUCAAAAUGAAUUUGGUAAUUUUACUCGUGGGUGGUGUGGCAUUGUGUUCCCAAAAACAAACUUUUUAUGGGAAGUGGAAACCAAUGGUAACCAUGGGUAUGGUUCAAUUUUUGCAUUUUUUGUCAGAAUCAAUGAUUAGAAUUUUCAGAUUCAAUUUGGCAAACUGGUUAUUGAGAGAAACUAUGGCAAAAAGGUUUGAUGCUUAAUCAGACUGGCUGCAGUUCACAUUAGAGAAAGGAUUCAAAUUUGAUAUUGCCAUCUAAAUUGGAAUAGUCAUGGUAUGUACAACUGAUAGCAUAGGCUAAUAAGGAAAAAAUGCAGAAAUGAGAAACACUUCAACAGAAUUAAAGGACACUAUAUCUAGUCAUCUAGAUGUGCCAACAAAGAAAUCAAAAGUUACUUGAACAGAAACUUAGAAAUUAAAAGUUGAGAAUAUCGUUCUCGUGACAAUAAAUAAUUAUAAAUAAAUAAAUAUGAUGCAUCCAAAAAAAAAUCAAAACAUAAACCCACCCCCACUCCAGCCCACCCAAAAAACAAACUCAGAAUUCACUUCAUGGAUUGCGUCUACUAAUUCAAAAUUCAGGUACAGAAAUCCAUAAUGCCUCAGAGUUCAGGUUCAGUAUAAAAGGAAUGUAUAAGAAUACCAAAUUUCUAGAGGCUUCGAAUUGUAAAUCUAUUUUUCUUCAUCAGUUCAAUAACCAAUGUUCUAAAAGGCGCUAGGCGGGCGGCCAGGGGGGCCUAGCGCCUAGGGGGCCUAGACGGCAUUUUUUAUUUUAAGCCAAUUUUAAUAUUUUAAUUUACGUUUAUCCAAACAAAACAAUAAUAUAAAACAAAACAAUAUAUGAUAAAAAUAAUAAAAACAUUUGCUUAAAGAUCAAGCACAUCUAUAUUACUGCUAAUGUCAAAAUUCAAAAACAAACAUGCAAUUGUUCAAAGUUCAAAUAUAUUUUUAACAUAUUAGUUUUAUUUAUAAAUUUAUAAACAAGAUUGUUAUUAAAUAAUAAAAUUUAAAAUUUCACGAAUUUAAUUCUAUAUUAAAACUUAAGAAACUAAACAUAAAUUUAAGAAUUAUAGUGAAUUAAACUAAAUAUUACAAAUGUAUCAUCAUUUAUAUAAUUUGAAAUUGGUUCAAGUUCAAAAAAUUACAACUAUAAUAAAAUUAUCCAUUUUGACUUGAUAUUGUUCACUUCUUGUUGUGAUUUGAUAUGUUACACCAUGUAUUAUGAAUAUGGUAAAUCAUUAAAAAAAUAAAUAUAUCGAGAUCUGGUUUGGGUAGUUAUUAUAAUAAAAAAAAUCUCUCCGCAUAGACCCUGCAUAGGCCCCACCUAAUUUUUUUGCCGCCUUGAGCCUAGGUGAGGCAAUUGGGGGGCCUAGCGCCUAGGCGGGGCCUAGGCGGGGAUUUUUAUAACAGUGUCAAUAACAAACUCGUUGAAAUGCAUUCUAAAAGACUGGUCAACCCUUGUUUAAGAACCCAGAAAUUAGAAAAUAAUACAAUUACACAACCACAAUUGAAUGACAUUAACAGCCACAAAUUCCAAUUCGCCUUACCUCCUAGAACCGCAGUUGCAGGGUAUCUUUUUCUCCUCCACUGGAAAUUUGUAAUUGUAUGUGAUUUCUUCACCAGCAGCAAUAUGCCGUUUUGCAUAGAUGAAAAUCUUUUUCUGACCCUCAACACUGAUAACCUUGGUAUAGCAAUUAGGCUGCAAGAGUUUACUCCAAAUUAAAAACCACCACACACUUUUUACAUCAAAGUAAAGAGUUCACUGAUAACUUGAUGCAGCUACCUCACAUGAAUGGUUUAUAAAUCUGGCAAUCCCACCACGCUUCGUAGCAUCAACCUGCACAGAAAUGAAACAUAUAUAAAGUUAUAAUAUUUUCCUUUAUGUACUCCAAGCCUAUCAUUUUCAUCACAAUAAUUAACAGAAAUCUUGGUAUAACCUUAAAUUGAUUAAUGAAGUGCAUGACUAAUGCAGCUUUCAAAAGGUCAGUAGCUGGCAGCUUGAUAUAAACUUGCAAACUCUGAUAUAAUCAUAAAACAGACAUCCACCUAAUAGAAGAUAACCUACUAAGUACCAACUGUAGGAAGAUGAAAUACAGACAACCACCUCCCAAACCUCAAAAAUUUAAAUGAAAAGAAGUUGCUAAACAAUUAUCAAUAUGUUCAAUUGUACAUGGGAUCCUGGCAUAUCAAAAUGAAGGCGUGGUAUCUUGGAAUUAAUAGAAGAUCUAUAAAACGAAAGAAGAAAAGAUUAAUUUGUUUUAAUUUUGUCCAUCGUCAUAAAGGCCUAGUUGAAAACAUGAAAUAUUACUUUCAAACUUACACCAAAACUGGUAACUCAGCGAUAACACUUUACAUCUAAUUAUAUUAAUAUCAGACUAUCUCCUUGAAGGGGAUUGCUGUAGACAAGAAAAUUUCAGGUUUCAGUAUUUUAUUUAGGUUUCCCUACUCGGGGCUCAUUUGAAGUUCUACAGCUUACAGAUUCAAGAUAUAUUUUUUAAAAACUGCAGAAUCGGAUAAAAAAGGUUAGGUCAACCAUUAAAGACUGGAUAAAGAGGUUCCUAAUUUACAAAAUAUUUUCACAUUUAUUUUUAGGUAACCAUGUUUUCGGAGGCAGUAUAAAUAGCUAAAAAGUACAUUUGAAAAUAGCUCGUAAGAUAACCUAGCAAUGAACUAGUCAAAAUAUGUAGCAUAGGAUUGGUAAUCUUAUUACUAAAACUAUCACGCUUCACGUACCACAUAACCAUCAUCCAGUCUGAACAGAUAACUGCUUCCAAUUCCCAUCUUCUCAUAAUGGCGUUCACGUAUAUCGGAUACCUGCAGAAUUUAAGGGGGAGAAAACUGAUGGAAUCAAAUACAGCACAAUGUAAAGGCAACUUCACAAAAAGGUGUAAAGGACAAUACUCGCAUACAAAAACAAAGAGGACUAAAAGUUCAUAAUAAUCAAGCAAAUUUACAAAAAUAAAGCAUCAACUACAACCGAGCUGUAUAUGACGAAAGUGACGCAUCACACAUGUUGUGAACAAUUGAGGAGGAAGGAUUUUAAGUUCAUGGUGAACACAUCCUGGCCAAUCUCCUAGCCGCCGACUGGGCUCCCCACUUAGCCCUAAGUUACUAACUUCGGUUGGAGAAUGUAAGGAGGGGUUUCAAGUUCAUGGUGCAAGUUGCAACGCAUCCCCACUAGGCUGUCCAAAAAGGUUGCCAUCAUGGACUUCCUAUUUUCUUUUUUGCUAUCAAUUAAAAAGUGGACAUAGUGAGGAAAAAGAUUUUGUAAUCUUACACGAGGUCGAAUUAGUUCUCCAACGUAUUCAAUGACAAAAUCUUCUGCAUCAAUUGGCUCCAAUGCAACCAGACCCCAAUCAUGUAUCUUGCUACGUUGAAAACGUAAACGUUUUUUCCGUGCCUAACAAGAAAGAAAAACAUUAAGCAAUUAAAGUACGAGCAAGAAAAACAGAAGCAAUGUAAUCCUUCUUUCACCUUCAGCUGAGUAGCUUUCAAAAGAUCAGCACCUUCUGCUGCAGCAAGAAGAUUGCGCAACUUAACCCUGUUUGUUCUCGCAGAUAUGCCCUUAACAUUUGAAAACUGAGAACCACUACUCUCUGAAUGCAUAUUUUGAUCAUGAACAUGACGACUUCCCCUAACACGAGCUCUUUCAGCAGGAGUUGCAUUAAUUGACCAUUUAUGCCAUUCCCAACCAUUGAUUGAAGAUCGGGCACAUUCGUGAGAUCUGGGGCAGGGAAUUGAUGCUCUGGAUUUACUGCUCUUGAUUUUCUGAAAAACAACUUGUUUACAUGAUGGUAGCUUAGCAGCACCAUUCACUAUUUUUGGAAUUUUUCCAGAGCGUGCAAUAUUAUCCACAGCAUGCUUUCUUUUCAGAUUUGAAACCUUAGCUGCUGUGUACAAAAAAAAGACAAUCCAUGGAGACAGUAAAAGGUAAAGUGCAAGACAAAUAAUUGGAGAUCAAAUAGCUAGUGAGCUAUUCUACAAAGCAAUCAAAGUGGAAAUUUUAAAAAAAAUGGAACAGGGCAAAAAAAAUGAUACUCACAUCUUAGUAGCUUUUCGGAAUAAUCCCCGGUACGCACUUCCUGAGUUUCAUCUUCCCUGUCUUUCACUUCCUGAGUUUCAACUUCCAUGCCUUUCUUAUUAGCAACCUUAACCUUACUAAAAUUCUUGGUCAGAACGGAGACAAACUCUUUGCUACAUCUUGCAUCCCCUUCAUUGACUGCAUUAGCCAGACAAAACAUUAGUAAUUAUCAUUGUUUGACGUAAGAUUAUCUCUAAAACUGAAAGAUAACAUUUACUUGUGCAAAUGAAAUACCUUGAACGCCACGACCAGCCUUCACUGCUUUCUGGUUGGUUGAGUGAAGAGAUGUCAAGCUUUCACCAUGCAUAUCAUGCUUCUUAGCAUCACUACAUGAUUCAAUCAUGCUAUUAUCUGGUCCAAUUUUUGCAGGCUCAACUACAGCCUCAACUUCUGCAAUCUUAGUUGCAUCUCCAGAUAUAUCCCGUUUCCUUGACAUCUCAACAGAUUGCUUCUGAGAUCCAAUGUCUUCUGAGGUUGCCCACUCAGUAAAAGAUCCCAACUUUUUCCUUGUCAACCUUUUCUUGCGGUAAUAUGUAUACUUCCCAGUCACCAAAGAUGCGUCUGAAGGUCCUGAGCUGUGAUCAGUCCUUGAUAUUUCGCUAAGCUUAUCAAAUGCAGCAAGAAACUUACCAUGUUUCUUUUCAUUUGUCUUGCUUAAUCCCUUCUGAAUAAAGAUUCAAGAAUCAAAUAAGAAUCAGAAGAGAAAACCAUGCCACUAACCAACCCCUUUCUCCACAUUUAAAAAAAAGACUAAAACACACACACAACUCUGACAACACUCCAAGAAAUUUUGGAAGAAGUGGGGGAAAAAAGUAAGAAAUCAAUAAAUCCUACCUCCAUAGAGUCCGGUUUACAGCGUUUAUUUGAAGAACACCAUGGUACCAAAAACUUGUUAAGAGAAUCAGCAAUAAACAAGGAGUUACACUCUCUGAGUACAUCAUCGUGUAACUUCUGCCGGCACAUUGCCAAGGCAACGUAUACUGCAAUCUUUGGAAAACACUCAUGUGACCUGGAGGAACGGAUUUUGUUAAUCUGUAAUGGAACAAGGGUUUCGGACUUGUUCUCAAAUCCAGGUGGGUUCAGCUCAUCAAUAUCUUUAUCCCUAACUGUAUCAGUUAAAUGCGUGCACAUUUUUAGAAGUGUUCUGGACAAAAAGUUCGAUGAAGAAUUUUCACAUGCAGCAACAAUGUUCUGAUGGCCCUGGUUUGCUAAUUGUGAUGAAGCCUGAAAAUUGUCAGGAGGAAUUAUCUUCAAAUCAAGUUGCGUCUCAGAAGAACCAUUCGCGCUUAUUGUAUGGCUGUGUUGCACAGAAGGCUCAACGGCCACCUGAAAAGAUAAUUUAACUUUUCUUUAUACUCGUACAAAUUGAAAAAAAAAUAUGACUACCAUAAUGGCCAUUCAAAGGAAGCAUCAGAAGAAAUCUGACACCCGUGUAAAAUAUGAGCUUCUUCGGGUCUAAAUUAAAAAACUACCUCAUUAAAUUGGUCAUCUUCUAGAGAACCAAGUAUUUGCUUUACUUCUUCAUCCACAAUGGCUUCAAAAUACUGGACCAAAACCGUCAUUGCAGAUGAAUGGAGAUCGUGUUCUAUACCUCCCAGAAUGUAUUCCAUGUCAUCGUAUGUUUGACAAAUGCUUAAAAGGUUCCUUCUAGAUGACUUUACUCCCUCGGAAGAGCGUGAAGAAACCAAAGGUGACGGGGAGCAUUCAUUAGAUGCCAUCCUCGGCAACUCAAAACCAGGAGGGCAAUCGAGCUCACCAACACUAGAUUCUUGUUCUAACCGCAACUGUUGAGCAUGGAGACAAACUUCAAACAACAAACAUACAAAAGGAAAGCAGAAAAAUAUAGCAGAGCAAGGUUACAACUACUUACAGCUUCAACAGGUAGUUUUUCCACCACCCCAGCAUACUGUUCAAGUAAAUUUCUAUGUUCAAAAAUAGCAUUAUCGGCAGACCACAGUUUAAUCUUCCUCCAGGCAGAAGAAUACUCCACUAUAGAAUCAUGAAAGACAGCAUUCCACAUAACUUGCAUUGAAGAGUCAAAAAGCAUCCGAUAGAUAACCACACAUGCAUUCCAAAAGUUCUCAGCGCUUCCAACAGACUUCAUGCAAGAUAGAGACCUUGUACAACUUCUAUUAAUUGGGGGAUUUUGCUCAGAAACACUAUUUGAUACUGCUUUUUCACUCACCAGAGCAACAGAGUCCUUCACCUGAUAAGAUUCACUCUAUUCACACAAAAACCACAAAAUAAUAUCAAUAACAGUUAAUUUUUUUUCCCUUGACAAGUAAUAAGUACAGUUAAUUUGUAUGGAAAGAAAUGGUAAAUAGAUACAAAAAUGGAGUGAACGUGGUCAAGGAAAAGGAAAUAAUGUAGGAUUUGGAUCAUUUCAUCCCAUUUUAAUCGUUCUCUCCAAAAGUUGGAAGAAAUGAAGUGAAAAGAAUAAGACAUUAAAAUCAUUUAAUGAUGUAAUACAAACUUCUAGCAAUGUUUUAUGCUUGUUUGAUUUUGUUCUUGCCUCCCAAAUAAGAGGGGGAAGUUAAUUAAUUUCGUUUUUCCUUCUUUCCCAAUUCCUAAAUAAAAGGAAAGAAGAGCACAGUCCUUUCCUCCACUUGAGGCUCUCACCAAAACCCACCUUUUUUCUUCUCUCUAAAAGUAGAACAGAGUAGAGAUUAAAGUAUCAUUAUUUCUAUGGGACAUGAAUCCAUUACCAUGUUAGUUUUGACAGUCUGAUUGAUCACUUCCAACUUUUGAUUCUUGUUGGCUUUCUUUGAGGCAACACACUCCGCAAUUACAUGGCUAAUAAUCUCAUCUAGCACAACUCUACGUGCUGUUUUCAUGAUUCCAGAGUGCAGUUGCGAGCAAACUUCUUCAGAAAUUUCAGAUAUGAAGCUCAACAAAGGGCCAGUCUCAUGGACCUUGUCGUCAGAUAUAUAGACAUUUUCACGUCCAGCUGUUCUCCAAGAAUCUAUCACAGAUUUUAAAAUGAAGGGCUUAAACUUAUUGUCAGCAUGACAAAUCUGCACAUUAGAAUCAUAAAACAAUGUAAGACCAGGAUAACCAGAAAAAGAAUAUAUAUAUAUACAUAGCAGAAACUCUAGUAUUGGCAGGUUGGUGACCUCGACUUUUAAUACAAAACAUUAAUAGCACAUGUCGAACCAUUGGACACACUUAAUUGUGUUGACUCUGUUGACAACAGCGUAGUAAGUUUAGUAUUGGCAAGCUGUUCACCUUGACUUUUUAUACAAAAAAUUAAUGGUGCAUGUCAAACAAUUGGACAUACUUGAUUCGGAAUAUCAGGAUAAAUUCAAAAACUAUGUAUCGGUAUACCAACAAUAGGCUCACCAUCAAUGAAGCGCGAAGAUAUCCAUAGUGAUGCCAAGAGUAAAGUUCCACAAGAGAGUGUGGUCCAUGUUUCCUCCCCUCGUCAUCCUCAAACAGCCAACAAGACUCUUCACCUGACUGUGCUUUUACAAGGAUAAGAAGGGAUGAGGGUUAGCAAAUUAUUGAAAUGCACAACACUAAAAACAUUUAAUCCAACUAUAAUUCAUAAAUAACAUAUAAGAGCCUUAUUUUUUGUGAGUGUUCGCAAAAUUAUGAGCCAAAUAAAGUUCAAUUACCACUGGCAUGUAUGGCAUAUUCGAACAAGCUGCACCAGGAAUUGGGUUCUGCGGGUUGGAGUUAGUAUUAUUAUUGUUGAAAUAUGAAUGAAAUGCUGACUGCGAGUUGUAAGAUACACUUGUUGUAGCAAACUCUUGUCUGUUUGAUUCAGUGUUGCUGUGAGAAAUUGUGGGUGACUUAACUCCAGAGACAGACGCAUGUAAAUAUACAAAGCCAGUGGCGACAUGGUCGGGGAACUGCUUAAAGUAUUUCAGUGGCACAGGGUUGAUUAAACUCCCAUUCAUAAUGGGGUACACAGGAAGCUCAUCCGGUAAGAAACCAGUAGAUAAACCCUCGUAUAACUGCUCCUGAAUGUAAGGGCCACACAUUUGACCUUGUUCAUUGACAUACAUCCAUGCACUCACAAAUGCCGGAGAGGCAUAGCCGGUAUAUGUCUUGAUUGGGUGGGAAGACCCUCCGGUAUUAGAUUGAUGGGAUAUGUUUUCAUCACCGCCAUUUGACUGGCAGCUCAUUUCCACCCCAGAGUUCAAGCCAACAUCAUCCUCACAAUUGCAGCAAGAUGAAGAAUUAUGAAUACUACCGUAACAAGUAUGGCUCAGCUCCAUGGAAGAUGCAGCGGCAUCAUGACUGGGUUCUUCACAUAUAUGUGAAGACAAAUCACGGUGUACCAACUCUGAGACCUUUAGCCUCUUUCUAGAUAAAGUAAUUUGGUCAUAUUCACACAGCUGGAUAACUGAAUCAAAACCGCCUCUUUUAGUCUCGGUGCAGCAACCAUCAGAAUAUACCAUGUCUUUAAGAGAAGCUCCUGGGGCCAACCUGAUUACAACUAGAUAAUUAGAUUGAUUGCAAAGUACGUAAGGUUAUUUUUUAUCUUGCUUACUGUUGGAAAGUGUAAGCAAAUGCACAAAAUUCAAUGUACAGCAGUUAAGGACAAUUCUAUUAGGAUGACAGGUCCGAUCUCAUAAUAACAUGUGAUACCAACAAUCUAGAUCUAUGAAUAUUAUAUUUAUAAGAUCAUAUAUAUUUAAUAUGUAAAUAAAAAGCAAUCUUGACCAAAAGUUCGAUUCCAAUUCAUUAUCAAGUCUUCUCGUGAAAAUUCAUAGAAGAAAUUAGUUCCAGAGGUUGUAUGAUGAAGAUCAAAGCCAAUUUGAAUAUUACAUGUACGCAUAGAUAGAGAACAGACCUAUAAAGAGAACGACGGCAAUCUGCAGCUGUUGAUGUUGGUCGAAGGCAGUGGUUCGACGAUGAUACCAGGAACCCUAAUAAUGAAAGAUUCGACGAUGAUACCAGGAACCCUAAUAAUGAAAGAUAAGAGUUGGAUUCUAUUUGGCCUCCCUUGUUCUUUUUACGGGGCAAAAAAUACAAACUGAGAUAUCGGGUUACGGGUCCAAAUUUCGGAAUUCCUAGCUCCUAUUUCCUAGUAGAACUCUUUCUCGUUGAUUUGGAGUCUCCUUUCGGAUAAAGUAAAACCCGGAUAAAUUAAAGUUCGAUAAAGUAAUAACUAUUUCACUUACAUAAGUAAUUUCUUUUGAUCCGACUUGAGUAUAUGUACUAAACUAAUAACCUUGCUAAAUGUAUUAACUAAUAAUUUUUUUUUUAAUCUUUAAGCCCGACGAAAAUAUAAAUUAAUAAUUAUUAAAUUUCAUACAAAAAUUUAUAUAUGUAAUUCAUAUAUUGAUGAACUUUUUAUAAUAACGCCCAUACAAUAAAUUUAAAUUUUUCAAUCAAUCAAUAAUAUUUAAAAAAAAAGACAUUUUUUUAUAAAUAUGCAUCAAAAAUUACUUGUUUUUUCUUUUCACCAAUUAUUUUUACCUUCUCUAGACUCAAAUUAAUACAUUAAUUAUUACUCCAUCUCUUAAUUUUUCUACCAUAUAUAUAAAUUGAAAAACUCCCUCUAAAAUAAUAAAUAUUAACUUAUCAAUAAAUGAAUAAAUUAUUUAUUUAUUAAUAAAUAAAUAAUCUUGCUAAAGUAAAAAAAAAUCGAUCCCAAAGGUAUUUAUUUAUGGAGGUUUUUACUAAAUCUAUCUAUAUAUAUAUAUAUAUAUAUAUAUAUAAAAUAAAGAAAACCUAAAUUUUUUUUGUCAUUCAUAUUUAGUAUGGGACUAUAAUUUAAGUGAUAUCAAAACACCUUUUAAAACUUCCUCAUUUUAUUUAUAAAAAACUAUUAAAACUAUAAUUUAACUAGAACCAGAACAUUAUUUAUGAUUUUGAAAAACUUUAAAAUAACGGUAAAACUAAUGAAAAAUCACACUGGAGUUGGCAUAUUUUAUUUAUUACCCCAUUAAACUUUUAAAAAAUUAAAUUACCCAUUGAACUAAAUAAAAUUUUGAAAUUACAAUAUUCCGUUAAUAAAAUUAAACGUCCGUCAAAUUGGCUUAGAUUUUUUCAAGCAAAACUGAGAAAACGCACUAUAGUUAGUACAUUCUACUUUCAUCCCUCAAGAAGAUGAUCCUGAAUAUGAGAAAUUUCUAUAUAACCCUCAGUUCAGUUUCCUGUUGUCUUUACCUACUCGACUUCAAGCGACCAAAGUAAUGGCUGUCCAGGACACCUUGUCGACCCACUCCCCAGAUGAAGAGUACUUGGUUCAGGUACACCAUCUUCAGAGCCAUUGGAUUCGUGAUCAUGAAGUUGUGAAACUGUUUGAGAAAUUCUGUGCUAAACUUGAGGAGAUAGAAGAGAUAGUGAAAAGAAGAAAUAAGGAUAAUCAUCUAAAAAACCGAUGUGGUGCUGGCAUUCCUCCAUAUGAACUGCUUCUUCCCUCAUCAGCUCCAGGAGUAACCGGUCGAGGUAUUCCCAACAGUAUCUCUAUAUGACAGGCAUGGCCAACUCCAAGCUUUUGUGUUUCUAGAGCUAUUUUUAGUGCACGGCAUUUGCUUUGUUUAUGGUAAUUCAAUUUUCAGUUGGCUAAUAUUUGAGAAUUGAUCAAUUGUUGUGGGCCCGCAAGUAGUCUUGUAACAGUAGAAUUCUAAAGUUACUUUUUAUUUGAACACGCUCAGCUAUAAGCCCCUCCAAUAACGC